rnacentral:lncRNA from 1 species
GGUAUAAUCUGAAAAUCAAAAGAGGGACUAGUAGUUAAAAUGAAAUAAAAGGGUUGCCCUAGCCCUUGGCUAAAAAAGGACCCCAUUUCAUUCAGAAAAAGUGGUUACGUAGUUAAAAUGAAAUAAAGGAUUGUCCUAGCCUUUGGCUAUAAAGACACCCAAUUCAUUCAAAAGAGAGAGGUUACACAAUCUGAAAAUCCUUAAGAAAAUUCCAGAUAUUUUAAACCCAACAAUCUCCAAAAACUCCUGAAAAGUGUCCAGAAAUCCUGGGUUUUCUAAGAAUUAUCGAACUUUCUGAAGUUCAGUGGAUUUUUCACUGUUCUAUUAGAUUACUUUUCCUGAAAAUAACUCUAAUUCCAGCUGUGCAGUAGAAGUUUAGC